GCAGGAUGUCUGGCAAGUGACUCC
rnacentral:piRNA from 1 species